GACGAACGCUGGCGGCGUGCUUAACACAUGCAAGUCGAACGGUGAAGCUCCAGCUUGCUGGAGUGGAUCAGUGGCGAACGGGUGAGUAACACGUGAGCAACCUGCCCCUGACUCUGGAAUAAGCGCUGGAAACGGCGUCUAAUACUGGAUACGAGAAGGGUCCGCAUGGGCACUUUCUGGAAAGUUUUUCGGUUGGGGAUGGGCUCGCGGCCUAUCAGCUUGUUGGUGAGGUAAUGGCUCACCAAGGCGACGACGGGUAGCCGGCCUGAGAGGGCGACCGGCCACACGGGAACGGAGACAGGGUCCAGACUCCUACGGGAGGCAGCAGUGGGGAAUAGUGGACAACGGGCGGAAGCCUGAUCCAGCCAUCGCGCGUGGGUGAAGAAGGCCUGCGGGGGGGAAAGCACUGGUGUGGGGAAAGAAAAGCAGCAGGGUAAUACCCCGCUGUGCUGACGGUACCCAAAGAAUAAGCACCGGCUAACUUCGUG
rnacentral:rRNA from 1 species